rnacentral:rRNA from 1 species
AACGAACGCUGGCGGCGCGCCUAACACAUGCAAGUCGAACGAGAAGGCGUAGCAAUACGCUUGUACAGUGGCGAACGGGUGAGGAAUACGUGGGUAACCUACCCUCGAGUGGGGAAUAACCAACCGAAAGGCUGGCUAAUGCCGCGUACGCUUCCAUUCGUUUUCGGGGGUGGAAAGGAAAGCCCGUACCGUGGGUACGGCGCUCAAGGAUGGGCUCACGUCCUAUCAGCUUGUUGGUA